GAGAAUUCCAUGGACUGUGUAGUCCAUGGGAUCGCAAAGAAUUGCACAGAUUCACUUUCAGAUUGAGUUCUUAAACAAUAUGUACCAGACUCUGUUCUGAGACUCAAGAUUCAAUAAAGACCAAAUAGAAUACUAUCUCAUAGUAUUAUGGUGAGUGGUAAGAAGGAAAGUAUAGAAAGUCAUGAAAAUACGAGGGGAAUUUGACCUAAUCCUGGAUAAAUAUCUUUGUAGAAGUGGCCUUUGAACUGAGAUUUGAAUGAUAAAUUUGAGUUAGUUAGGGAAAGAGAUGAGAAAAGAACAUUCCAAGUAGAAGAGACAGAAUUUCCUAGAUGGGUUAAGGAGCUGGGUGAGUUUGAGUAACUAAAGAUUAGUAUGGCUAGAGGAAAAUAUAAAGAGGAGAGUCUGGGAGAUGAGGCUUCAGAUGCAGACAGUGGUUUUCUAAUUUGAAAACAUCACUCUGGAUGCAUAUAGAGAAUACAAUGAUUAGAGAAAGGGCUAAAGUAGAUGCUGAUAUUGCAAUGAACCCCUCCAUAAUCAAAAGAAUAGGAAGUUCUGUUAGUCAGGUAUUCUAAUAGUAAUAAUUUCAGUAGAUAUCCUUCAUGUUUUAUUUUCCUGGACAAGAUCUUUAAACUCUAGACAAAUAUCCUUGCUGUCAAAUACUGUUAUCCAAUAACAGAAUGCCUUUCAAAUAUCCUUUUUGAAGUUUGCAACCUUAAGUUCAUAAUGUUCAUCUUCCUUUCCCUUCCCCGGGUGGGUAUAGACCUUAUUAUCAUGGUUACUGACUCCUCUCUUGAAAGGGUCCUCUGGAUAGAAUUUUAUAUAAAAGAAAGCAGGUGAUUCUGAUAUGUUACAAAACUGCUAUGAAUUGUUCCCAGGCCCUGGCUUGUGAUUAGUUUCCUUGCAUCCAUCCUGCAAUGCAUUUGUUAUAAACAAUAAAGUCUGACUUUAAAU
rnacentral:lncRNA from 1 species